GAAUUUUUCCCGAAGUUCAACAGCUCAUAACUUACGAUCUAAGCGUCUUAACAACUACAAAUUUUACAUGGAGUACUGAUAUAUCUUUAGAAACUACCACACCAAAAUUCAACCGUAAAUUCGUCUUGGAUCUUGUGAUAUCUUGAAAACCCUAACUAUAGCUUCAAACCCUAGCUUUUUUACACCCGUGUACAACUUCCUUCAUAUCUCACAAAGUAAUUAUUCAAAUACUAUGAAACUUUGAAUUAAAGCUUCUUAAUCCAAUUACACACACUUGUGGAAAUUUUGAGCCAAAAAUUCGUCCAGAAACUCAAGAUAUAGCUUCACCCAUAACUAGCAACAAAACGAUAUACUUACUGCCUUCAAAUUACAAGUGCUGUCUUCAACGCCUCAUAACUCCUUCACCCAAUCUUAGAAUUCACUAUACAGUAACUAGAAUGUGUAGCCGAGAAAAUGCUCCCUCCAAAUCCAAUCGCCGAUCUUCCGUUGCUUUCCGUAUUCGUAUGUGAUGCCCAAAAGAAGUGACAGUAGGUACGAAAUUGACACCUUAUCUUUGAACAUUCAUAUCUUUUCCAUAAAAACUCGAAAUC
rnacentral:lncRNA from 1 species